rnacentral:rRNA from 1 species
CCUACGGGAGGCAGCAGUGAGGAAUAUUGGUCAAUGGGCGAGAGCCUGAACCAGCCAGGUCGCGUGAGGGAGUACUGCCCUAUGGGUUGUAAACCUCUUUUGUCGGGGAGCAAAAGCCGGACGUGUCCGGCUGUGAGAGUACCCGAAGAAAAAGCAUCGGCUAACUCCGUGCCAGCAGCCGCGGUAAUACGGGGGAUGCGAGCGUUAUUCGGAUUUAUUGGGGUUAAAGGGUGCGCAGGCGGAUUUUUAAGUCAGCGGUCAAAUCGUGGGGCUCAACCCCAUCCAGCCGUUGAAACUGGGGAUCUAGAGUGUGCGAGAGGUAUGCGGAAUGCGUGGUGUAGCGGUGAAAUGCAUAGAUAUCACGCAGAACCCCGAUUGCGAAGGCAGCAUACCGGUGCACAACUGACGCUCAGGCACGAAAGCGUGGGUAUCGAACAGGAUUAGAUACCCUGGUAGUC